rnacentral:rRNA from 1 species
CCAGCACCUGCGGUAAUUCCAGCUCUAAUAGCGUAUAUUAAAGUUGUUGCAGUUAAAAAGCUCGUAGUCGGAAGUCGGGCUCGGGCAGGCUGUCGGCCUCGGUUGGGCAGCUUGCUUGGGUCUUCUAGCUCGGGGGCCCCGUGCCAUUUAACCGUGGUGCGCGGGAACACGGGCCGUUUACUUUGAAAAAAUUAGAGUGUUCAAAGCAGGCCUACGCUUGAAUACAUUAGCAUGGAAUAAUGGAAUAGGACUUUGGUGCUAUUUCGUUGGUUAAUGGGACCGAAGUAAUGAUUAAAAGGGACAGUUGGGGCCGUUUAUAUUUCAUUGUCAGAGGUGAAAUUCUUGGAUUUCUGCAAGACGAACUACUGCGAAAGCAUUUGCCAAGAGUGUUUUCAUUAAUAAAGAACGAAAGU